UACGGGGGGGGCAAGCGUUGUUCGGAAUUACUGGGCGUAAAGAGCUCGUAGGUGGUUUGUCGCGUUGUUCGUGAAAACUCACAGCUUAACUGUGGGCGUGCGGGCGAUACGGGCAGACUGGAGUACUGCAGGGGAGACUGGAAUUCCUGGUGUAGCGGUGGAAUGCGCAGAUAUCAGGAGGAACACCGAUGGCGAAGGCAGGUCUCUGGGCAUUAACUGACGCUGAGGAGCGAAAGCAUGGGGAGC
rnacentral:rRNA from 1 species